CUCCCCCUGGCCCGCUUCAGGCUGUUCCCGCUCCUAGAAACCGUGACUGGCCGCGGGAGCGGAACCGGCUUGUGGCCGGCUGGGAUCGGUAGAGCGGGAUGGUCCGUAACGCCCGGGCCGUGCAGAGUUUGCCUGGGGCUUGCACGCUCCUGCCGGGGUGUCAGUGACACUCUUGUAUCAAACCCCUGCAGGAAACCAGCUGCAAAGCAGCGAUGGGAACAAUCCAUCCACAUUGUCCCCAAGGAAGCGAGUUACAGGGAUUGCCCAGUUCCUAGAGUUCUGUUAAACAGCCUGUAUCUCUUAUAGCUGACUUGCUUCCCCCCUGCUUCUAUCUGUCUGUGGCUAGGCCGGUGUGGCUCUCCUCCGAAGUUCAGUUUUGCUGAGGUGCCCAGGGGAGUGAGGAGUAGCUAUCCUGUUGGAUUCCAUCUGAGCUACUCCUGUCGCCCGGGAUACACUUUGGACCCUCAAAAGUCUCCUGUAGUUACAUGUGGUGCAGAUUCAACAUGGUCAAUAGACUGAGUUUUGUGUAGGAAGACCAUGUAAAUCACUAGAACUAGAAAAUGGCAGAGUUGAUUUGACCGAUCUCCGGUUUGGUGCAACAGCAACCUUCUCCUGUAAUGAAGGUUACAAAAUAAUUGGACCGACUUCUGCCCAAUGUGUGAUUGCAGGAAAUGGAGUUGAUUGGGAUAAAGAGGUUCCACUUUGCCAAGGAGUCCAUCUGGAGGCUGCUGACCUGAAUUCACAUUGGGC